UACGGAGGGUGCAAGCGUUGUUCGGAAUCAUUGGGCGUAAAGCGCGCGUAGGCGGCCGCCCAAGUCCGGGGUGAAAGCCUCCCGCUUAACGGGAGAAGGGCCUCGGAUACUGGGCGGCUGGAGGAGGGUAGGGGUCGCGGGAACUUCCGGUGGAGCGGUGAAAUGCGUUGAUAUCGGAAGGAACGCCGGUGGCGAAAGCGCGCGACUGGACCCUUUCUGACGCUGAGGCGCGAAAGCCAGGGGAGCGAACGGG
rnacentral:rRNA from 1 species